AUCGAUGAAGAACGCAGCGAAAUGCGAUAAGUAAUGUGAAUUGCAGAAUUCAGUGAAUCAUCGAAUCUUUGAACGCACCUUGCGCCCCUUGGUAUUCCGAGGGGCAUGCCUGUUUGAGUGUCUUAUCAAUAUCAAUCCCCUGCCUUUCUCACGAUCGGUGUGGUGGACUUGGAUUUGGGCGUUGCCGGGUGACCGGCUCGUCUUAAAGACGUUAGUGGGAAGGGUUCCCUCUUGGCCUGACGUAAUAAGUUUCGUCUGACCUUGGGAUCUCAUGCCGGCUUCCAACCCGCCCUCGGGCAUUUUUUGUCAUGGACCUCAAAUCAGGUAGGACUACCCGCUGAACUUAAGCAUAUCAAUAAGCGGAGGAAAAGAAACUAACAAGGAUUCCCCUAGUAACGGCGAGUGAACCGGGAAGAGCUCAAAUUUGUAAUCUGGCGUGCUCAGCGCGUCCGAGUUGUAAUCUAUAGAAACGUUUUCCGUGCCGGACCGCGUCCAAGUCCCUUGGAACAGGGUAUCAAAGAGGGUGACAAUCCCGUACUUGACGCGACGACCGGUGCUCUGUGAUACGUUCUCUACGAGUCGAGUUGUUUGGGAAUGCAGCUCAAAACGGGUGGUGAAUUCCAUCUAAGGCUAAAUAUUGGCGAGAGACCGAUAGCGAACAAGUACCGUGAGGGAAAGAUGAAAAGCACUUUGGAAAGAGAGUUAAACAGUAUGUGAAAUUGUUGAAAGGGAAACGAUUGAAGUCAGUCGUGAGCCCGGGAUUCAGCCGGUUCUGCCGGUCUACUUCCCGGGCUUGGGUCAACAUCAGUUCUCGUCGGUGGAUAAAGGCUGUGGGAAUGUGGCUCCCUCGGGAGUGUUAUAGCCCGCUGUCGCAUACGCCGGUGGGGACUGAGGAAUGCAGCUCGCCUUUAUGGCCGGGGUUUCGGCCCACGUUCGAGCUUAGGAUGUUGGCAUAAUGGCUUUA
rnacentral:rRNA from 1 species